UCCAGAAUUAGCUUCACCAACCCACAACUUGAUCUUGAACCUGGCCCUAUAACCAUGCAUGAAAGAACAUGGGUCAUAUUUGUUUCUCCUGGGAAUUUAUUUACUCCCCAUCCAGGGAAGACUUUAUUAGACCGUCGUUGAGUCUUCGUAAAUGGGAAAUGAAGUUGACUGACUGGAGUUGCUCGUCCAUUUCUUGGAACCUUCUUGUUCAUGAUGAUUGCACACCAAGAAAACACAACCAAGGCCUCUGUUUCUAGGAAGCUGGAUGGAAAUCGGUGGCAACUUGCAACUUCCCUUAUAUUACGAUAUGCUCAUUGAUUUCCCAGAAUGGUGAAUUUAGCAGCACCAGUUUAUACAGAUUUUGUAAGCGAGGAAUUCUAGGGACAGGGACAAGGUAUAGAAUAGAAGCUGCCUUUUGCCUGUUGCGAGAAGCACGGUUCGCAUAGUUAACAUUUUUCUGAAGGGGUAUCCAGUUACUUCUUGUAGGAAAAAUCCCCAAACCAUGUCCAUCUCUGUUUGUAACACCUUUUCCAGUGGGCUAGAUUUGGCAGACUUGGUGGUCAACGCCGACCUGCUCCAGCUUUCAUGUGAUGCCAU